AUUGAACGCUGGCGGCAUGCUUUACACAUGCAAGUCGAACGGUAACAGGCCGCAAGGUGCUGACGAGUGGCGAACGGGUGAGUAAUGCAUCGGAACGUGCCCAGUCGUGGGGGAUAACGCAGCGAAAGCUGUGCUAAUACCGCAUACGAUCUAUGGAUGAAAGCGGGGGACCGUAAGGCCUCGCGCGAUUGGAGCGGCCGAUGUCAGAUUAGGUAGGUGGUGGGGUAAAGGCUCACCAAGCCAACGAGCUGUAGCUGGUCUGAGAGGACGACCAGCCACACUGGGACGGAGACACGGCCCAGACUCCUACGGGAGGCAGCAGUGGGGAAUUUUGGACAAUGGGCGCAAGCCUGAUCCAGCAAUGCCGCGUGCAGGAAGAAGGCCUUCGGGUUGUAAACUGCUUUUGUACGGAACGAAACGGCGAGCUCUAAUACAGUUUGCUAAUGACGGUACCGUAAGAAUAAGCACCGGCUAACUACGUGCCAGCCGCCGCGGUAA
rnacentral:rRNA from 1 species